UAAGACGGAGGGCGCAAGCGUUGUUCGGAAUUACUGGGCGUAAAGGGCAGGUAGGUGGUCUGUUAAGUCUUCUGUGAAAAUCCGGGGCUCAACCCCGCGAAAUGCAGGUGAAACUGGCAGACUUGAGACCGGUAGAGGCUAGCGGAAUUCCUGGUGUAGCGGUGGAAUGCGUAGAUAUCAGGAAGAACACCUGUGGCGAAGGCGGCUAGCUGGGCCGGUUCUGACACUGAACUGCGAAAGCGUGGGGAGCAAACAGGAUUAGAUACCCUGGUAGUCCACGCCGUAAACGAUGGGCACUAGAUGCUGGGCAUAUAGACGUGUUCAGUGUCGUCGCUAACGCAUUAAGUGCCCCGCCUGGGGAGUACGGUCGCAAGGCUG
rnacentral:rRNA from 1 species